rnacentral:rRNA from 1 species
CUACGGGGCGCUGCAGUGAGGAAUAUUGCACAAUGGGGGGAACCCUGAUGCAGCAACGCCGCGUGGAGGAUGACGCAUUUCGGUGUGUAAACUCCUUUUAUAUGUCAAGAAAAUGACGGUAGCAUAUGAAUAAGCACCGGCUAACUCCGUGCCAGCAGCCGCGGUAAUACGGAGGGUGCAAGCGUUACUCGGAAUCACUGGGCGUAAAGGACGCGUAGGCGGGCUUGUAAGUCAGGUGUGAAAUCCUACAGCUUAACUGUAGAACUGCACUUGAAACUACGAGCCUAGAGUGUGGGAGGGGCAGAUGGAAUUAGUGGUGUAGGGGUAAAAUCCGUAGAUAUCACUAGGAAUACCUAAAGCGAAGGCGAUCUGCUGGAACAUAACUGACGCUAAGGCGUGAAAGCGUGAGGAGCAAACAGGAUUAGAUACCCUUGUAGUC